rnacentral:rRNA from 1 species
CGGGAGGCAGCAGUGGGGAAUUUUCCGCAAUGGGCGAAAGCCUGACGGAGCAAUACCGCGUGAGGGAGGAAGGUUUUUGGAUUGUAAACCUCUUUUUUAAAGGAAGAAGAAAGUGACGGUACUUUAAGAAUAAGCAUCGGCUAACUCCGUGCCAGCAGCCGCGGUAAUACGGAGGAUGCAAGCGUUAUCCGGAAUCAUUGGGCGUAAAGCGUCCGCAGGUGGUUAAUCAAGUCUGCUGUUAAAGACAGAAGCUCAACUUCUGAUAGGCGGUGGAAACUGGUUAACUAGAGUACGGUAGGGGUUGAGGGAAUUCCCAGUGUAGCGGUGAAAUGCGUAGAUAUUGGGAAGAACACCAGUGGCGAAGGCGCUCAACUGGGCCGUAACUGACACUCAGGGACGAAAGCUAGGGUAGCGAAAGGGAUUAGAUACCCCUGUAGUCUUAGCUGUAAACGAUGAACACUAGGCGUUGCUUGUAUCGACCCGAGCAGUGCCGUAGCCAACCGCGUUAAGUGUUCCGCCUGGGGAGUACGCACGCAAGUGUGAAACUC